GCAUAUCAAUAAGCGGAGGAAAAAGAAACCAACAGGGAUUGCCUCAGUAACGGCGAGUGAAGCGGCAACAGCUCAAAUUUGAAAUCUGGCCCUAGGCCCGAGUUGUAAUUUGCAGAGGAUGUUUCUGGCGAGGUGCCUUCCGAGUUCCCUGGAACGGGACGCCAUAGAGGGUGAGAGCCCCGUACGGUUGGUCGCUAAGCCUCUGUGAAACUCCUUCGACGAGUCGAGUAGUUUGGGAAUGCUGCUCUAAAUGGGAGGUAUACGUCUUCUAAAGCUAAAUACCGGCCAGAGACCGAUAGCGCACAAGUAGAGUGAUCGAAAGAUGAAAAGCACUUUGAAAAGAGGGUUAAAUAGUACGUGAAAUUGUUGAAAGGGAAGCGCUUAUGACCAGACUUGGACCGGUUGAUCAUCCAUCGUUCUCGGUGGUGCACUCUGCCGGUUCAGGCCAGCAUCAGUUCGUCCCGGGGGAUAAAGGCUUUGGGAAUGUGGCUCUUCGGAGUGUUAUAGCCCACUGCGUAAUACCCUGGGAUGGACUGAGGUUCGCGCUCCGCAAGGAUGCUGGCGUAAUGGUCAUCAGUGACCCGUCUUGAAACACGGACCAAGGAGUCGUCUUCGUAUGCGAGUGUUCGGGUGUCAAACCCCUACGCGUAAUGAAAGUGAACGUAGGAGAGAGCUUCGGCGCAUCUCCGACCGAUCCUGAUGUUCUCGGAUGGAUUUGAGUAAGAGCAUACGGGGCCGGACCCGAAAGAAGGUGAACUAUGCUUGUAUAGGGUGAAGCCAGAGGAAACUCUGGUGGAGGCUCGCAGCGGUUCUGACGUGCAAAUCGAUCGUCAAAUAUGAGCAUGGGGGGCGAAAGACUAAUCGAACCUUCUAGUAGCUGGUUUCCGCCGA
rnacentral:rRNA from 1 species